rfam:Perkinsus marinus ATCC 50983 gcontig_1104296435100, whole genome shotgun sequence.
GCGGCUUUGGCGCAGUAGGUAGCGCGUAGGUCUCAUAAUCCUAAGGUCGCGAGUUCGAUCCUCGUAGGCCGCA